rnacentral:lncRNA from 1 species
CAGAGUCCCCAUCCACUAGGACUCUUCAGAUUAGCCAUGUGAUCGAAAAGAGACUUCUAAAGUGUGUGACCCCAUAGGUUCGAACCUAAGCUAGUAGUACAAAAAUUAAUUUUUAUACCAAUCGAAGUAACCAUCUAGCAAUGGUGCUCGACGUUCGGAUGGACUGAAUGUAUGCAAAGCAACACUCAAGAAUUUAUUUAGAUAUAGUUACCAUAUAAUUCAUCCCUUUGAUCCUUGAUGCUAGGAUGAUUUAGAGUUUGAACUGUCAACUCUUAAUAGUACAUCCAUUAUGUGUCUCAACCUAAUAAAUCUUGUGACUCCUCAUAAGGAUUGCCCUGACCA